rnacentral:lncRNA from 11 species
CUGUGAUCCCACAUCCGCCUCCGCCUCCUCCUCCUCCCUUUACUCACGAAGCCUACUCCAAACUGCUGUCUUCUUGCGCCCCCCACUGCCGGCGAACCGCAGAGAUCAAAAGGGCCCACCGAGCCGGGAAGAAGACGUCUCGCUCGCUUUGGCCACCCCGGUCUCGCUUUGCCUUCCUUCUCUGGCUUCCUGAGGGUCUCCCUGAACCCCACCACCUCCUUGCAGCCCUGUCGAAGAAAGAGAAGACCUUCUUCCCCUCUCCUCAAGAAAAAGGCUGCGGGAGCCCAGAAAAGACAGCACCUUUCCAACCUGCCCAUCAGAAGAGCCCCGUUUCCCCAGGUGUUGUUCCAAUGCCAUUACUCGGAGAAAUAAGAGCGAGAGAAAGGCAAUAUCUAUGA